AACGAACGCUGGCGGCGCGUCUUAAGCAUGCAAGUCGAACGGCAAGAUUGGUGCUUGCACCGAUCCUAGAGUGGCGGACUGGUGAGUAACGCGUGGGUGACGUACCCUAAGGAUGGGGAUAGCUGGUAGAAAUAUCAGAUAAUACCGAAUAUCCUUAUUGUUGUUAGAGGACAGUAAGGAAAGGAGCUUUGGCUUCGCCUAGGGAUCGGCCCGCGUACUAUUAGCUAGUUGGUGAGGUAACGGCUCACCAAGGCGACGAUAGUUAUCCGGCCUAAGAGGGUGAACGGACACAUUGGGACUGAGACACGGCCCAGACUCCUACGGGAGGCAGCAGCUAAGAAUAUUCCGCAAUGGAGGAAACUCUGACGGAGCGACGCCGCGUGGAUGAUGAAGGCCGGAAGGUUGUAAAAUCCUUUUAAGCAAGAAGAAUAAACUUUACAGGGAAUGGUAGAGUGGUGACGGUAUUGCUUGAAUAAGCAACGGCUAAUUACGUGCCAGCAGCCGCGGUAAUAC
rnacentral:rRNA from 1 species